CGUACGGGUGAGUAACACGUGGGUAAUCUACCUCUUAGUGUGGAAUAACCCUGGGAAACCGGGGCUAAUACCGCAUAAGCUCGAGAGAGGAAAGCAGCAAUGCGCUGAGAGAGGAGCCCGCGGCCGAUUAGCUUGUUGGCAGGGUAAGAGCCUACCAAGGCAAAGAUCGGUAGCCGGCCUGAGAGGGCACACGGCCACACUGGCACUGAGACACGGCCCAG
rnacentral:rRNA from 1 species